rnacentral:rRNA from 1 species
GACGAACGCUGGCGGCGUGCUUAACACAUGCAAGUCGAACGGAAAGGCCCUGCUUGUGGGGUGCUCGAGUGGGCAACGGGCGGGUAACACACGGGUGGUUAGCCCCCUUCUAUGGGUUAAGCCUGGUCAACAGGGUGUAAUACAGGACAGGUAAUUGCUGUAACCGGAGUGGUGGAAAGAUUAGUUUCGGCAUGGGAUGAGCUCGGGAUCUAUCAGCUCGUUGGUAGGGUAUUGGUCUACUAAGGCGUCGACGGGUAGCCGGCCUGAGAGGGUGGUCGGCCACAUUGGGACUGAGAUACGGCCCAGACGCCGACGGGAGGCAGCAGUGGGGGAUAUUGCACAACGGGCGCAAGCCGGAUGCAGCGACGCCGCGUGGGGGAUGACGGCCUGCGGGUUGUAAACUCCUUUCAGCCAUGACGAAGCCCUUGUGGUGACGGUAGUGGUAGAAGAAGCACCGGCUAACUACGUG